GACGGAGGAUGCAAGCGUUAUCCGGAAUGAUUGGGCGUAAAGCGUCCGCAGGUGGCCGUUCAAGUCUGCUGUCAAAGACCGGGGCUUAACUUCGGAAAGGCAGUGGAAACUGAACAGCUAGAGUAUGGUAGGGGCAGAGGGAAUUCCUGGUGUAGCGGUGAAAUGCGUAGAGAUCAGGAAGAACAUCGGUGGCGAAGGCGCUCGGCUGGACCGUAACUGACACUCAGGGACGAAAGCUAGGGGAGCGAAUGGG
rnacentral:rRNA from 1 species